GUAGGGAAUCUUCCACAAUGGGCGCAAGCCUGAUGGAGCAACACCGCGUGAGUGAAGAAGGGUUUCGGCUCGUAAAGCUCUGUUGUUAAAGAAGAACACGUAUGAGAGUAACUGUUCAUGCGUUGACGGUAUUUAACCAGAAAGUCACGGCUAACUACGUGCCAGCAGCCGCGGUAAUACGUAGGUGGCAAGCGUUAUCCGGAUUUAUUGGGCGUAAAGAGAGUGCAGGCGGUUUUCUAAGUCUGAUGUGAAAGCCUUCGGCUUAACCGGAGAAGUGCAUCGGAAACUGGAUAACUUGAGUGCAGAAGAGGGUAGUGGAACUCCAUGUGUAGCGGUGGAAUGCGUAGAUAUAUGGAAGAACACCAGUGGCGAAGGCGGCUACCUGGUCUGCAACUGACGCUGAGACUCGAAAGCAUGGGUAGCGAACAGGAUUAGAAACCCGGGUAGUCC
rnacentral:rRNA from 1 species